AUGUUGGUUGCUUUAAAAAACGUUUCUACUUUUUGUCAUGUCUCUAUCCUUUCUGGUUAUUUGCAGAUGAUGUACCGCUUGUUUUCCGCCUUGGGUGUUCUAUUCGGAAUGGCCUCAGCGGGGGUCUUUUAUGGCUUAGGGCCAGAGCCAAAGACGAUAUGUCCUGGGAUGCCAUUCACUUUUACACGGACAUAUAAGAUAAGAGCAGACUUGAUGUACUACAAGAACGGGGUUGAGAGGAAGGUUGCCACUACCAAGGAGAUUAUAGACCCCCAGUUUCGGCUCAAUGGCACUGUACCUUAUUUACCCGAGGUCAUGAAAACGCAUGAAGGGAAGUAUUAUUGGAAGGCUCCAUCGGUCGAUUUUGAACUGAAUUACAUCAGACUAAUUCUGAAAGACUGCAGUGUUCGUCAAAAUGUGGUGUACGGUGAGGAGUUGGCCUUAAAUGUGCCGGCGGACGCGUCUGUGUUGGAGUUCACCCCUCACCUCUCAGACCAACACUCCGUCCUGUGGAGACGGAUACACAGAGGGGGGGACGAGGAAGCAAGGGGCGCGGUUAAGGACGGCCGCUGGACAGCACAGAGGAUGACCCAAGCGGAUCAGGGGCGCUACACUUUACUCAGGGAGAGUGGUGGCCAGAUCUCCAGCACUGUGGUCUCUGUUGAAGAACUCCAAAUACAUGCUCACGUGGCUGAUGACGACGUCAGAGAUCACUGGAGAACUGAUGUUAAUAUCUCUGCACGGGAGGCUGUAGUCACUUACUUUACGGCUUUCGGGGGUGAGCAUGUGCUCUUCCGAGACGGCAUGGAGACUGAUGAGGGCUUCGACAUUUUUGGAAAUCGUAUCACACUCCAAAAGUCAACGCUCCAAAAGUCAACUUUCAGCAUCAGCAAAGCGCAGCCAAGUGACGCAGGACGAUACGAGAUCCAUGACAAGAAUGGACAUCUGGCCAUCUCACUGUAUCUGGAGAGAGACCCUGGUCAGUCGUAUGCCAUGACCUGUUUUUAUUGUUGUAUAAUGUAGUUAUUAAUUCUACUUCAAUCUCUUUCUGCGUGUCAACAUUUUUCUCUCUCCUUCAAUCUCUCAGAAGAUGAAGAGUUUUAUCCUACGAGUUUAGCCACUCCUCUUGGCAUAUCUGCGGGCGUGCUGGUUGGACUGCUGUGCUGUUGCUGGUGCUGUUGCAAGUGCUGUGGCAAGUGCUGUGGCCAUGACGAUGGUGACAAGACUGAGUCCGCCGCUGCUUCUCCAGACGCCGAGCAACCCGCUCACAUCCAUGUAAGCGCUUCUAUAUAGGGGAAAGUCUUGCAGGGGUCGUGACCUCGGCCCUUUGUGACAAGAGCAAACACGUGGAGUUGAUUCAUGGAGGGUUAAAAGAAGGAAUAAAAACAAGGCACCCCUGAUGUUAAACUUAAAG
rnacentral:lncRNA from 1 species